UUGAACGCUGGCGGCAUGCCUUACACAUGCAAGUCGAACGGUAGAGUAGCAAUACUCGAGAGUGGCGAACGGGUGAGUAAUAUAUCGGAACGUGCCCAGUCGUGGGGGAUAACGUAGAGAAAUUUACGCUAAUACCGCAUACGAUCUAAGGAUGAAAGCGGGGGACUCGCAAGGGCCUCGCGCGAUUGGAGCGGCUGAUAUCAGAUUAGGUUGUUGGUGAGGUAAAAGCUCACCAAGCCGACGAUCUGUAGCUGGUUUGAGAGAACGACCAGCCACACUGGGACUGAGACACGGCCCAGACUCCUACGGGAGGCAGCAGUGGGGAAUUUUGGACAAUGGGCGCAAGCCUGAUCCAGCCAUGCCGCGUGCGGGACGAAGGCCUUCGGGUUGUAAACCGCUUUCAGCCGGAAAGAAAUCGUCAAGGCUAAUAUCCUUGAUGGAUGACGGUACCGGAAGAAGAAGCACCGGCUAACUACGU
rnacentral:rRNA from 1 species